UGUGAGCUCGAUGAGUAGGGCGGGACACGUGGUAUCCUGUCUGAAUAUGGGGGGACCAUCCUCCAAGGCUAAAUACUCCUGACUGACCGAUAGUGAACCAGUACCGUGAGGGAAAGGCGAAAAGAACCCCGGCGAGGGGAGUGAAAAAGAACCUGAAACCGUGUACGUACAAGCAGUGGGAGCACGCUUCGGCGUGUGACUGCGUACCUUUUGUAUAAUGGGUCAGCGACUUAUAUUCUGUAGCAAGGUUAACCGAAUAGGGGAGCCGAAGGGAAACCGAGUCUUAACUGGGCGUUAAGUUGCAGGGUAUAGACCCGAAACCCGGUGAUCUAGCCAUGGGCAGGUUGAAGGUUGGGUAACACUAACUGGAGGACCGAACCGACUAAUGUUGAAAAAUUAGCGGAUGACUUGUGGCUGGGGGUGAAAGGCCAAUCAAACCGGGAGAUAGCUGGUUCUCCCCGAAAGCUAUUUAGGUAGCGCCUCGUGAAUUCAUCUCCGGGGGUAGAGCACUGUUUCGGCAAGGGGGUCAUCCCGACUUACCAACCCGAUGCAAACUGCGAAUACCGGAGAAUGUUAUCACGGGAGACACACGGCGGGUGCUAACGUCCGUCGUGAAGAGGGAAACAACCCAGACCGCCAGCUAAGGUCCCAAAGUCAUGGUUAAGUGGGAAACGAUGUGGGAAGGCCCAGACAGCCAGGAUGUUGGCUUAGAAGCAGCCAUCAUUUAAAGAAAGCGUAAUAGCUCACUGGUCGAGUCGGCCUGCGCGGAAGAUGUAACGGGGCUAAACCAUGCACCGAAGCUGCGGCAGCGACGCUGAUGCGUUGUUGGGUAGGGGAGCGUUCUGUAAGCCUGCGAAGGUGUGCUGUGAGGCAUGCUGGAGGUAUCAGAAGUGCGAAUGCUGACAUAAGUAACGAUAAAGCGGGUGAAAAGCCCGCUCGCCGGAAGACCAAGGGUUCCUGUCCAACGUUAAUCGGGGCAGGGUGAGUCGACCCCUAAGGCGAGGCCGAAAGGCGUAGUCGAUGGGAAACAGGUUAAUAUUCCUGUACUUGGUGUUACUGCGAAGGGGGGACGGAGAAGGCUAUGUUGGCCGGGCGACGGUUGUCCCGGUUUAAGCGUGUAGGCUGGUUUUCCAGGCAAAUCCGGAAAAUCAAGGCUGAGGCGUGAUGACGAGGCACUACGGUGCUGAAGCAACAAAUGCCCUGCUUCCAGGAAAAGCCUCUAAGCAUCAGGUAACAUCAAAUCGUACCCCAAACCGACACAGGUGGUCAGGUAGAGAAUACCAAGGCGCUUGAGAGAACUCGGGUGAAGGAACUAGGCAAAAUGGUGCCGUAACUUCGGGAGAAGGCACGCUGAUAUGUAGGUGAAGUCCCUCGCGGAUGGAGCUGAAAUCAGUCGAAGAUACCAGCUGGCUGCAACUGUUUAUUAAAAACACAGCACUGUGCAAACACGAAAGUGGACGUAUACGGUGUGACGCCUGCCCGGUGCCGGAAGGUUAAUUGAUGGGGUCAGCGCAAGCGAAGCUCUUGAUCGAAGCCCCGGUAAACGGCGGCCGUAACUAUAACGGUCCUAAGGUAGCGAAAUUCCUUGUCGGGUAAGUUCCGACCUGCACGAAUGGCGUAAUGAUGGCCAGGCUGUCUCCACCCGAGACUCAGUGAAAUUGAACUCGCUGUGAAGAUGCAGUGUACCCGCGGCAAGACGGAAAGACCCCGUGAACCUUUACUAUAGCUUGACACUGAACAUUGAGCCUUGAUGUGUAGGAUAGGUGGGAGGCUUGGAAGUGUGGACGCCAGUCUGCAUGGAGCCGACCUUGAAAUACCACCCUUUAAUGUUUGAUGUUCUAACGUUGACCCGUAAUCCGGGUUGCGGACAGUGUCUGGUGGGUAGUUUGACUGGGGCGGUCUCCUCCUAAAGAGUAACGGAGGAGCACGAAGGUUGGCUAAUCCUGGUCGGACAUCAGGAGGUUAGUGCAAUGGCAUAAGCCAGCUUGACUGCGAGCGUGACGGCGCGAGCAGGUGCGAAAGCAGGUCAUAGUGAUCCGGUGGUUCUGAAUGGAAGGGCCAUCGCUCAACGGAUAAAAGGUACUCCGGGGAUAACAGGCUGAUACCGCCCAAGAGUUCAUAUCGACGGCGGUGUUUGGCACCUCGAUGUCGGCUCAUCACAUCCUGGGGCUGAAGUAGGUCCCAAGGGUAUGGCUGUUCGCCAUUUAAAGUGGUACGCGAGCUGGGUUUAGAACGUCGUGAGACAGUUCGGUCCCUAUCUGCCGUGGGCGCUGGAGAACUGAGGGGGGCUGCUCCUAGUACGAGAGGACCGGAGUGGACGCAUCACUGGUGUUCGGGUUGUCAUGCCAAUGGCACUGCCCGGUAGCUAAAUGCGGAAGAGAUAAGUGCUGAAAGCAUCUAAGCACGAAACUUGCCCCGAGAUGAGUUCU
rnacentral:rRNA from 1 species